AUAAAUACUUACGCGAAAUAAUUAAAACGAAAAUGUAAUAUUAGUGUAGAAAAUUUCCGAGCAUACAUUACUUAGCAGUUAUAUUGAAAAAACGGUCGUUUUACUUGCUAUCGCUCCCGGUUCCAUAUAUAUCAUCUGGCUAACGAGGAUAAUUCGUGCGUUUAAAUUAUGUCGCAAUCGUAUUUAGGAAAUUUGCCUAUUAUUGAUCAUAAGACUACCGAGUGGGCGAUAUUCAAGAGCCGGUUAACAAAGUUUUUUCUAGUGAACGGUAUAUCGGAAGCAGAAAAAAAAGUGCCAUCACGAUUACACAUUUAUCGGAUGAAAGUUAUCGGUUAGUGCGCAAUUUAGCUUAUCCGAAGGAGAUAGAUUGAUUGAUAGAUAGAGUUAUGUUAUGACGCGCUGGUUUUAUUACUCGACGAACAUUUCAAACAAAAGCAGUGUACUUUUGCGGAUAAGGCGAAGUUUUUCGGGGCGAUGAAGAGUGCAGACGAAACGUUGAGCGAAUGGGCGGCAAGAUUUCUUAGAGGUCUGGCAAGUUAUUGCGAUUUUGAUUCUGCCCUGGAGACGAACCUCUGCCCUGGAGACGAAAAUCGUUUCGUGCUCGGUCUGGGCUCAGGUUCCGUGCGCGAUAAACUAUUCGAGCAAAAGCCAUCGUCACUAAACUUUGCCAAGGCUUUAGAGUUGGCAGAACAGACGGAGAGUGCCCGAGAAGCGAAAUUAAUUACUAUUAAGGAGGAGCCAGUUUUUCGAGCGCAAACGGAGGGUGGAUAUCGCGGUGGCGCGAGAGGCGCGCGCGGUCGCGCUAGCACGAGCGGCAGCGGUCAACGGGAUCCACGUUCGACUCCCGAGCAGUGUACGGUUUGCGGAAUGAAAAAUCAUACGGAAAUCAAUUCAAUCAAUCAAUCGUUAUAAAUCGUAUAAGUGUCAAAAGUGCGGCAAAAAGGGUCACUUAAAGAAAGUUUGUGGUGAAAGUGCGCGAGUGCAUAACGUUUCCGUUGGCGAAUCGUCGUCGUUGAAUCGCAGCGAGGUAGAUGAUUGUGAGGAAUGUCAAAUGUUUAACUUAAGGUUCCAAAAUUAAUGGUGGAGGAUAUGAUCUGUAUGCUAUAGUUUUGUGAUCUACCUACAAGACCAGUAAUAAAACAGACGUCAAAGCAAA